AUGGAAGUAGUAGAAGAAGUUGUGAUUGUUGGAGCUGGAAUUGCUGGCCUUACAACUUCCUUAGGACUUCACAGGCUGGGAAUUCGGAGCUUAGUGUUGGAAACAUCGGAGAGUUUGAGGGCGACUGGAUUAGCAUUCACAACCUGGACAAAUGCCUGGAAGGCCUUGGAUGCUGUUGGUAUUGGGGAAUCUCUUCGGAGACAAAACGAGGCACUUCAUGGGAUUGUUACUUACUCAACAGUUUCUGGGCUUCCAUUGUUUGAGAUGUCACUCAAGGACAAGGGUAAACAAGGAGACCAUGAAGUUCGUUGCGUGAACAGGAAGUUGUUGUUGGAAUCCCUUGCAAAUGAACUUCCUAGUGGCACAAUCAGGUUCUCCUCUAAGGUGAUUUCCAUUGAGGAAUCAGGCUACUUUAAAUUGCUGCAUCUUGCUGAUGGAACUAUCCUGAGAGCCAAGGUCUUGGUUGGGUGUGAUGGAGUGAAUUCUGUGGUGGCAAAAUGGCUCGGUUUCAAGCAGCCAGCCUUUACAGGGAGACACGCUAUAAGAGGUCGUGCCAACUUCAAGAACAGUCAUGGGUUUGAUCCCGUGUUCAUGCAGUUCUUUGGCAAUGGUGUUAGAUCUGGUGCCAUCCCUUGUGAUGAUAAAACUGUUUUUUGGUACUUCACUUGGACUCCAACCAACCAAGAGAAAGAGCUAGAGAAGAACCCAGCUGAGAUGAAGCAAUUUAUGUUGAGCAAGCUGGGAAAUAUACCUGAUGAUAUAAAGGAUGUGAUUAAAACACUGAAUUGGAUGCUUUUGUUUCCUCUCCUUUGAGAUCUAGGCAUCCUUGGGAGCUUCUCUGGGGAAACAUUAACAAAGGAAAUGUGUGUGUAGCCGGAGAUGCGCUGCAUCCUAUGACCCCGGACCUUGGCCAAGGAGGCUGCUCCGCAAUGGAAGGUGGUGUUGUGUUGGCUAGAUGUCUUUGUGAGGCCUUGCUGAAAAACUCAAGGCAAGAAAUGAAAGGUAAAAGUGAACAAGGAAAGGAGGAAUAUAAGGAAAUUGAGAUGGGGUUGAAUAAGUUUGCCAAUGAGAGGAGAUGGAGAGGCUUUGACCUAAUUGGUACAAGUUAUAUGAUUGGUUUAAUGCAAGGGAGUGAAGGAAAAAUGAUGUCCACCUUGAACAGAUAUUUGGCUCCAAUUCUAGCUAGGUGGCAGUUACACAAGGCUGAUUUUGAUUGUGGAAAGCUCAGCAGCAUAUGA